AGUAAAAGAAAGAAGACGGCGAGGAGGCCCCAUCGAAACAAAAGACUCUUAGCUGGUAUGAUGAUGUCUCUGGCAUGAGUAUCAUCUUCAAAGUUAAUCCAAACAUUUAUCUAAGAGGACAAUCUAAUUGUGUCAAUCUUAAACACUACUUUCAACUGGACCGUGUGGUGGAUGCUUGAAACAAUGCAGUGCCAGUGAUAUUAACGAUUAACGUGUAACAUCAACACAUACCUAGCUCUGUGUGUGUCAAAACUGUAAUGACUCCUACCAGGCGCGCAGUGCAGGCUGCACUGCCUGCUUCUUCUUAUCCUUUUGACCUGAAGGACUUAAAAUUACUACAAAAGUAAUGUACCUAUCUAUGGAAUGGAACUACAGAAGUACACUGAAGGAAGGCCUCCACAGCAAGGUGAUAAAUCUUUGCCUUUGACAUUUGCAAGUAGUCCUAAUAGCCACUGCAUCCUGAAUUGUAAUUAUGAGCCACCAAUAACAAAAAAGAUGUCUGUGACAUGGAUCCCUAAUGUUCUCUCAGAUGGUGACGAAUAAAGAAAGAAGAACCCAGGAGUAUAAAAAAAUACUUACAUACAUACCUACCAUUGUGGUGCUGUACAUACAUACAUAGUCACACCACCAUACCAGGAUGGACUGAGCCGAGCACUACCAAGAAGACCAACUGCAGCCUCUUGUGAUGGACAUAAUGACCAGAGUGGUGACAGAUAAGCAACCCAUCACAAAUAUAAAUAUUUCUU